CAACCUGCCCUUCAGAGGGGGACAACAGUUGGAAACGACUGCUAAUACCGCAUAACAUAUCCGGGAGGCAUCUCCUGGAUAUCAAAGAUUUAUCGCUGAAGGAUGGGCUCAUGUCUGAUUAGCUAGUUGGUGGGGUAACGGCCCACCAAGGCUGCGAUCAGUAGCCGGUCUGAGAGGAUGAACGGCCACAUUGGGACUGAGAUACGGCCCAGACUCCUACGGAAGGCAGCAG
rnacentral:rRNA from 1 species